rnacentral:lncRNA from 1 species
AAUGCGGAAAUUAAAAAAUUUUCUUCAACAAACGAAGUCAUUUUUUUUCAAAAUAGAAAGGAGUCUAACCAUUGUCCCAUUGGCCAUCGAUACAAUCGAAUACUUGGACAUAUAGGGAUACAACCCUUACAUAGUUUUAAAAUUAAACUAAUAAAAGAAACUACUAAGAUAUCUACAAAGUAAGAUGUUGGUCCCCGAACUUGAGGACUCAUGAACUGGCUUGAAGGAUCACCUAGUCCAAGACCUUUGAACCAAAACUACCAUCUCCAUGAACCAACACCCUACAUUGUAGAAAACAUAGAAAUAUGAGUUAGCACAAAAAUGUACUAAGUAUGGUAGCAAUGCACAAAACCAUUAAAACAUGCAUGAAAAGGGACAUUUCAUUUGAAAUCAUGCUUUAUGCCAUUUUUGAACAUCAUCUUUGAAAUAGUUGGAGAAUGCAACCAAUAAGGCAACUCACAUACAUUUCAUUAUAACCUCAGAAAUAUCAUUAUAACAACAAGCAUAGUUUCCAAUAUCAAUAUAAUACACAUCCCAAUCUUCACAAUACAUAGCCUCCAAUUAUACAAGGAUACAUGGUUAAAUACAUAGACCAUCACAUCAUGAAGUAAUCAUCACAUAAGCAACCUCUAAAACACACUUGUGCAAUGUAUGGGAACUAAAAUGUAUUUACAAUGUACAACACAAAUCCAAUAUCACAUUCAUACUCAUUUCAUGGUAAAGCCAUUACCUUAGUAACUUCUAGGAAACACUUGUGCAAUGUGGGGUUAGCACCCCAUAAUACCAACCCUACUAAGUACUCCUUUGAAGCUACCUUAGUGAUGCAUUACAUCUUUAGACUUCAUUAUAUGCAAUAUUCACAAAUUAAGGAAAUAGUCAUGUACAUUACUCGAAUACAAGGAAAGUCAUGCAUACCAAAUAUCCAUUCAAUAUACAUACAUGCAUUCGAAUCUUAUCAAAAUGCAAAGGAACCAUCCCAUGACAUCCUACUAAGUCUACUUGUGCAAUGUGGAAGUGAAGUCCCAUACCCCCACUCCUACUAAGUAAACUCACCAAGAAGUCAUAGUAUAGUUCAUAUCUCAUUCAUUAACUUCAUUAUUAUAGGGAAAAGUUGCCAUAACCGACAUAGAUCAUGUGAGCUACAUGGAAUCCGAUGUCAUAUAACCCCACACUGAAAGAAGGCGUUCUUACUUGCCGAAGGUAGAACUAAUUAUAUUUAACUUCUAAGUGGAUCCACUAGAUAAGUCCUAUGUUUGGCACAUAGUUAUGGGAUAGGGAGAUUGCUAUUAGAAACCCAACCUAUUGCAUUAGAGGAGGAGCUUUCACCUCAUGAGUUUACUAUAGAUGAUCCAACCUAUUGCAUUAGCGGAGGGGCCUUUUCCUCAUUGUCCAUAUCCACUCGGUUCUAAGCAUUAUUUCCCAAUUAUACAUAAUUAGUAUGGAAUUGUAUCUACAUGUGUGACGACAUACUUUACCCUUCGUUCAAUAAAACUCACUAAAUAGCUCAUAGAUUCAUUUAAAGGUGAGAACUAACUUUCAACCUUAGAAUCAUCAUUAGUAUGUGAGUAUAACUUUCACACUAAGAUCAUGUGUUCUCAUGAGAAUGGACAUUCAAUCAACACAAUAGGAUCAUCCUGGUCAUGUACAUUUUAUGCAUAAUAAUGAGUAAAGGUGCAUAUGAGAACUAUACUUUCAAUUAAAACCAUUGAUACAUCAUAUUCAUGUUUAUGCAUAGAGUGUGUGUGCGCGCGAGAUUGUCUUCAAAACGGCACAACAACAACAACAGUAUCAUCAUAGACACCUCCCUUCUCAAGGGGAUCACAACAUGUAAAUAAUAUCCCAACUCAUGUACGAUUCACAUAUAUUGCAUUUAUGAUCUUAGACCAUAUAAAUAAACAUAUCUAAUAUUCAUUACAAUAGACAUGGAUACAUUCAUCAUAGCAACACCAUCAUGAUCAUAACAUAACAUUUGUAUUCAUAUCGUAUCAUACUUGGUCAUAUAUAGGGUUGUAGGGGAGAGGGACCUUAUCUCAACACAACAAUACAUAUGACAAGUAAGCACCUCCACCAUAAGUGGAUCAACAAUUAAUUAUUAGAAUGCUUGACAAGUAAACACCCCCACCAUAAGUGGAUCAAUCCAUUCAUAUAUAAUAACUUCACCUAACAUACCUUCAUAGAAUUUCCCUUCAAGGCCAAGAGUCGAGAUCAAGUCUAACAUCUUAGAUUUGGCACAAUAGAUAGAAAAACAUCAUAAUCCAACAACAUAACCAAUAUGAUCAUUUUCAAGGUAAUUCAUAUCUACAAGAUUCUAUCAUAUUCCAUUUAUGUCUAGGUGAUCUAAACUAAGGUCAUUCAUCAAGAAAUUCAUCAACCCUAUAAGAUCACAUCUAACCCCUCAAUUUGCCUCUUUCAUGAAAUUACCCUAGACCAAAUCAAUUUCAUAUUAGAUUCAUAAGGUAAUCAAGAAUACAUGUAAAAAUAUACUUAGAUCAUGUAAUUACAUCAUAAACAACUCUAUUUCAAUCAAUUGAAUCAACUUCUAACAACAUUCAUUGUGUAGAGAAAAGCCAUAGCUAUGGUUGGGGGGAAACUCAUGGAUUCUUUAGAUUUGAAGUUAAAACCAUCUAAAAUCAGUAGUACUACCAAUAAUAAACAUAGUUUAAUCUUUAAGAACAACUUAGAAAGGAAUCCAUGGGGUUGAGUUGAAACCCUAGCUUUUGAAGAUUUCUAGAAUUGAAUUAAAAGCUUUUGAGAGAGUUCCAUGGGUGAUAGCUACCUUUGGAUGAAAACCAUCAUACCUUAGGUGUAGAAACCCACGAAAAUCCUAAGAUAAAGCCUCCAUCUUCAAGCCCCUAGGUUGGUUUCUUCAUUGGUUUUCAAUGGUGUUCUUGGAGAGAAGACUUUGGGAGGGAAAGGGGAUUUGAGUUUUUUUGAUUUGGGGUCUUGACUUGUGGUGAAUUAAUGAAUUAGUUUAGGGUCCUAUAUGUUUAUAUAAUUCAUUAAUUAAACACCUAACCGACCUCCCUGAAUCCCCACUUAAUUAACUAAUUAAAACACUAAACCUCAAAUUAAUCGAAAAGCUGUCAAAAAUAGUCCAACCUACGGCUAGCCUUCCACGGACCGUAGAUCAAUCUACUGGAUGUGGUUGGCUACCGUGGUUUGGGACUGUGGAUCUAAAUGUUGCAGGCUCCAAGAAAAACUAAGUAUGGACCUAUGCUCCUCAUCCACGGACCGUGGUCUGGGCUAUGGGGAGUGGAAGGCAUCCGUAGGUCACCACUUAGUGACCAAACCUAGCUUUCUAGGUAGCCUUGGGGGACUGUUUUGGGGUUCUCCUCAAGGACCCCUCGAGUGGUCUUAGGGGAGUCGUACCCGGACUUUCUACCCCUAAAAAUGAUAUUCUAAGUAUGGGAGACACUUCUACAAGUUUUCACCCUCAUACAACACUCCAAACUUUCAACGACAAGACCCUUAGAACUCACUAGUUCAAAUGACUAGUUUCCGGACGUUAUUGUCAUUUCUUGACGUUUGACCUCAAAUCCCCUCAAACUAAACUUGAAAAUCCAUAUUACAUUAUUUAAUCAAGUUUACAACUUCAACUCACAUGUGAAGCUCUAGUUUCACCUACUAGAUUACGUCAAGCUUCUGUUAGGUCUUACUAGUUUCUUCGGGGUGUUAUAAAGUUGGCCUUGCCACCUAAAUUUUCAGAUGUGCACCUGUUGUUUCAUGGCUCCAUUUUUUGAAAGUACGUGUUGGAGCCUUUUUUUGGUUCAGUAGUAUUGGGGCCAGAUUUGUCAUAUGAGGAGGAGCCUAUAACCAUUCUGGAUAGGAAGGUCUAAAAGUUUUUUACCAAAGAUUUGUUCAGUGAAGAUGAAGUGGAAGCACCGUUCAUUUGGAGAGGUGACUUGGGAGAUGGAGACAAACAUGUGUGAUAGAUAUCCCAGCUCUUCGAAGCUUCAUGUACUUUCUUUUACUUCAUGUUCAGGGAUGACCAUUAUUUUUAGUAGUGAAUAAUGUAAUGACUUGGCUGGUCAUUUUUGGAAAAUUUCAUUGAAUUACUAUUUUACCCCUCUCAAUAUUGACAUGAGUCAUUUCUAAUUUGGCUAGUGAAAUUAGUUUUGAAUAUUGAGUAAAACGUGACGUGUAGUGAAAACUUUUGAGUUUGAAAGACUUAAGUUGUUAAAAAGUGAAUUUUGUUGUCCUUUGGAGUUUCGAGACUUGGAAUGUGGAAAUUGGUCUGAGAGAGUUGUCAGUUUCAAAUUCAGAUUCUUUUCAUGGAAUUGAGGUUCUAAGUUAGAAAUUAUUGAAAUUUUAGCCUUUGGGUUGAUUUUGGUUAACAUUCAGGGUUCAGAUGCUCAGAUCAAGUUUUUAACAGUUCCAUUAGAUUUGGGGGAUGAUUUUAAGCCUAGAGGAGGUCUUUGUUUAAUUUUCAGAGGUCCUAAGAUUGAUUUUGCCUUUUCAGGCAUUGUGUUUAUUUUAUUAUGACUUUCACGGGAUUAAGGUCAAUGAGACCUCAUAUUCGUAUUUUGAUGGUUCUAUUGAGUUUGGAAUGGCGAGUUUAUUCUGAUAGUAUAUUUAAUUUGAGUGUAUUGGGUUUGAAUGAAUCCAGAGGGACGUCCAUUCGAAGGAUUUUAUGUUGGUUAAUUUUCUAACUGUGUUUCUGGUGCCAACCCUCCAUGUUUGUGGAGCUUGUGGUCGCGUUCAUAGAGUGGAAAAUAUGGGGACCUUAUGUUCGUGGAGGCUCCACCACAUUCAUGGAAGGUUAAUAUGUUGACCUUCGUAUUCACGGGAGCCCUGCCAUGUUUUCAAAGGGAUGGUUCAUUAGGUCAUACAUUCGUGGGCAGGGGUUCGCAUUCGCGGAGGAUCCUUGGGCAGGAUGUUUUCCAAAAUCAAGGUUUCAACCCCAUUUCCUCCAUUUUUGAGUUCUUAAGCUUGGUAUUGGAGAUUUCAAAGUUGAUUUUGAAGAAACUUUGAUUGGGUUAUGAAUUUGAUUAUUCCAUGAUUAUGGCAAGAUUUUAUCAUUUAAAUUCUAAAUUGAAUUCAAACCUUUUGGGUUUUUCAAGAACUUGGGUUUUUAAGAAAAAUGAUGAUUAUGAGUUGAAUACAACUCUAUUUUUAAAAUGGUUUUCACCAAUGAAUUCCAAAUAUUUUGGAUAACAUAUUCAUGUAAAAAAAUUAGAUUCAAAUCUUAUUUUCGAAAUCGAGUUUUUGAGUUGAUUUGAUCUAUUUAUUCAAAUUACUUGAUAUGGGUGCUGUUAGUUCCAGAAUCUCAUCGUGAAUACUUGUUUGACUAGAUUGUGUUGUUUUGGAUAUCAUUCAGAAAGGAAAAGAUCAAGUCCUAGCUUGACUUUUGAUUGAUUUAAGGCAAGUGAACCUUGUUAAAACUUGUAGAAUCUUGUUGUCUCUUCAUUGUGUGUGUGUUGGGGAGUAAUGGGAACAAGGUGAUGGGUUAGAUUACUCUUAUUGAUUAAUCUUAAUUAUUGAAAUGGGAUUGAUGAAAAAGGCAACAUGAUGAUAAUAGUGUAUUGUAUAUUGUGAAUUGACUUUAGUGUUGAAUUUGAAUCAGUGACUAAUGAAAUACUUUGAUAGUACGAUUGUGGAUGUAAAUUUCCUGAAUUUUCAUCUCAUCAUUAUUAUGUGAAUAUGCUUAUUUGCAUUAAUGCGGAACACUAUGAUGAGAUGUGUAGAGAUUAUGCCGAGGUCAGCUCCGGUGAGUGAUAUUGAUACCGAGGUUUAUUAUGGUAGGCAUAUUGAUGUCGAGCUUUGUUUUGGAAAGUGUUAGCGACACCGAGGUCUAUUCCGAUAUGCGAUGUUGAUGUCGAGGUAUAUUCCAAUAAGAGGUAUUGAGGCUAAGGUUACAUCCCAUGGGUGUAUGGAUCUUGGAUGUUCCCCAUGGAUCCCGACUUGAUAAUUGUGAUUAAUGUACUUGAUACUUGGGAUUGUUGAACUUAAUACAUGUGAGUGAUCAACUUUAUUCUUCCUAUUUGAUGAAAUGUAACUAUUGGACUGUGAUUAUGAAGAAAUGUGAACUAUAUAUUAUGAAGGUUAGGAUGAGCUGAUUUUUGUGUAGGUUGUAGUUGUGGUGGUUUGAUUGGGAUGGAAGGAGUACUCGUAUUCUAGGCUAGUUUUAUCUUCCGUUUAUUAGGUUACUUGCUGAGUACCGUGUUGGUUGGUACUCACUUCUUGCUUCUACACUUGUGUAGGUUUCGAGCCUGAAUCUGUGUGACCAUUCUUCUUCCAUCUUUCUCCGAGACUUUCUGAUGAUACAUUGAGAGGUAGUUGCUUGUCAUCCCGACUGGCCCUCUUGUUCCUUACUUAUUUUAUUGUUCUAUUUUAGAAACAAUGACAUUAGGACUUGCAUUUUAUCUUUCAAUUAUGUAUUUUAUAUUAGUGACUUGUACACAUGACAACCUGGUUUUGAGGUUAUGUUGAGAAUGACUAUGUUUUUUGUGCUUAUGUUAUUGUUAGUUUAUUUCCACUUUUCUUUCGUGUUUUUGGGUUUUUGACUGACUUGUCUUGAUGGGACAAUACGAGUUCCAUUACGUCCACUUUUGAAUCGUGAAAUAGUUACCUUUUAAAGGCCGUCUUGAAGACUUAUAGAUGAUAGACUAGGGAUGUCUUGAAAUUUUCCAAUCGUGAAUUCAUUGCUGCAAAUUUGUGAAGCUAGUCUCUCCUUUAAGAUUACAAUUGGGGGGAAUAGUAGAAGAUGUAGUUCCAGAAGAAAUUUUAGAGGAGGAGAAGAAGGGAGUGAAGAAAGACAUUAUGAGAUCUGAAAAAAUGGUUAGGUAAAUAACAAUAAAUAACAAUAAUGACUUUAAAGUCCCCUGUCCUUGGAUCAAGAGAACUUUGGGUUCCAUAAAAAAACAUUCAAGUUCUUAACUCAAUAUUAUAUAAAAAAGGUAGAUAUGAUAGUUAUGUUUACAGGGGUUUGAUAUCAAUUUUAUACGUAAAGGCUAUAGCUAUUUUACAUCAAGAAGUUGUUUACUUAGAUGAUCCAGAUGUUAUUAAUAAUCAUUUGUACCUCUGCCAAGUCUUCUUUGACAAACCAACUACUGUUGCUUAGGAAUGCUACUUACAAAGUAGAUAUGAAAAGAUCACAAUAUCAUCCGCAUUAAGAACAUUCUAUUAAAAAAUAGAUCUUACCAAUUUGUAUAAGUUGAUUCAAGUUUUACCAUGUUUAAAUUAAAGAUCCAUUCAUGGCAUAAUCCGCUGAGUUUUGGUAUCUGGGAUGGCUUGAUCCAACAACAUCUUUUGAGGAUUGCUUUGUAGCAUCUGAAAUUGUCUGUGAUUGGGAAACAACUUAUACUUGGUUUUUGGUUGGCUUAUGUCCAACAAUAGUUUCAUUCUCAUUUUGUGUACUUCGUUCCAAUUUUUUUUCUAUCAAUAAUUACCUACUCUGCAAGAAUUCUCGAGUAAGAUAACCUGAUAUAGAGUUUGAGCUCCCUUUGAUAUGUUCAAUAUCAAAAUAAAAUAGACAAAAUAGCUUACCAUCUAGCAAAUAUAUGUUUAGAAUCAAGGUUUUGUACAACUUUUUGCAAAAUAGAUUUUGCAGGUUUACAAUCAAUGCGUAGUAAAAGCUUUUAUUUAGUAUAUCUUCUUGAAAUUAUAAAAUGCACAAAUAAUUGCUAAAGUUUCCUUCUUUAUAGUAGGAUAAUUUUGUUGGGUUUUAUUCAAAUUUUGGAUGCCAAUGCAAUGAUAUGCUCGUUGUCAAUUUUUCCUUGUUUCAAAAUACCACUAUAACCAAUAUCUUAUGCAUCUGUUUUAACUAUUUUGAAUGCAGAGGAAUUAAUAAGGGAUAAUCAUGUUAGGUCUUUAGCUUUAAACUUUAUUUCUUUAACGACAUUGGAGUUGAUGUUGGUCCAUGGAGGAGGGGAUUUCUUCAAUCUAUGAUGAAGAGGUUUUAGUAAAUUACUAAGUCCUGGAAUAAAAUAUUCUAUGUGAUUGACACAUCCCAAGAAUCUUUGGAGCUGAGAUUUGUCAAGAAUUUUAUUAGGAAAUAUAUAAGCAAAUUGAAUGGAUCGUUGGAUAGGGAUAAUAGUACCUUGUUGGAUAUUAUGUCCAAGAAACUGAAUAUAUAUUUGGAAGAGAUUGUACUUAUUCUUGGAUAAAACUAAGCCAUUAUCUUUGAUGACAUUGGAGAAAACUUUCAAAUGUUUGAAAUGUUGGUCAAUGCUAGUAGAAAAUACUAGGACAACAUCAAUGUACAUUAUAAGAAAUUUUGAAAAAUGAUUAAAAAUAUCAUUCAUUAUUUUUUGAAAUUUCGAGGGAGUGAUUUUUAGUCCAAAGGGAUAACAUUCCAUUCAUACUGCCCAAAAGGUAUCAUAAAAGUUGUUUUAUGGCGAUCCCUUGUAUAGGGAUAGAGUAAUAGUACCUUGUUGGAUAUUAUGUCCUAGAAAUUGAAUAUUAAUUUUGAAGAGACUAUAGUUAGUCUUGGGUAAAACUGAGCCAUUUUCUUUGAUGACAGAUAUUCCAACCCCCAGGAAGUAGCUAAUAAAAUACUUAGCGCUGCAAUAAAUUUCAUCUAAAAAAACUCCCGUAUAUACACAAAAAAUUUAUGAAGGGAUGGAUACUCACAUAUACUCGAUCUUGAUUGUUCAAACAUCAUAAAGACGAGCAAACACAAAAAUAUGUUACCUAGAUACCAUACCUCAAAGAUUUUGUACAUCUUUUUUCAAAAUAAAUUUUGCAGCUUUACAAUCAAUGCGUUGUAAAAACUUUUAAUUCUGUAAAUCUGGUUGAAAUUUUGAAUUUCACAAAAACAAUUGCCAAAAUUUUCUUCUUUAUAGUAGGAUAACUUUGUUGGAAUUUAUUCCAAUGAUUGGAUGCAAAUGCAUUGAUAUAAUCUUUAUCUCUUUUUUUUCAAAUUACCACCAUAAACAACAUCUGAUGCAUUUGUUUCAACUAUUUUGAAUGAAGAUGGAUCAAGAAAAGAUAGGUUGUGAGAGUAGACAAGCCACCAUUGAUGCAAAAACAAUUGAGUAAUUUAGAGACUAACUGGUUUCCCCAAAGGGAAGAAGCAUGAUUUUUUUGCUAGUGUUAUUUUGAAAAGUGAGACAUUCAUACAUACAUUUUGGUAAUAAAAAUAAUUGUAGUUUUUGGAUUCAAAAGUAUUUAGUACUUGGUUGGGUUCAUGCCCAAUUCUUUGGGUGAGAUUUUAUAUAUAAGUAUGUUCGAAAAAUAAAAGUAAAUAAAUUAAUUAAUUUUUCUUAUAGUUACAUGAAGUGUGGAUAAUUUCACUAACUUUUAGAGUAUAAAAAAAUGUGAGUAUAAUUAGUUUGAGAUUUUAAUGGCCAUUUAUUUAAGUUGCCACUAAAAAUUGAUCAUUUGCAGUUAAAGUUUAUUUUCUGGUAAUAUAUGAAGUUUGAAGAAAAAUUAGUGGCAAUUAGUUUAUAGCACCUAAAUACAUGCCACUAAAAUCCUAUUAUGGUGUAGUGAUGGUAUUUAUAGAAAUUUUGUUGCUUUAGAAACCAAUCGAAGAUCUUAUUGUUGAGAUUUGUCCUUAUUGCAUAGUUUCAGAUGUGUGCCUUACCUUGACUAUGGACUAAGUCGAGCAACUGAAGAUACCUAGACUUACGUUUUAUCCACAUAAUCUUAUGUUCCACUAUAUUGGACAUUGUUUGAACGUGUAUACACCUCAUGAGAAAGUAAUUUGUAUAUUCAUAAAGUUUAUUGAUUCUAAGUUUACCUUAUCAGAUUAAAAUUAAAAGAUCUCAAUUUUCGUAUGAUAUUAAAAUCAAUUCUGAAGGUCCAUACUCGGAGAUGAUGAAGUGAAUUAAAGAAUUAGAACCUUGGAGUUGUAUAUGCCAUGAUUACUAACACUAUCUAUAAACUGAAUACUACUUACACGGAGCUUUAGAAGGAACCAAUGGUGAAAAAUCAUGGUUGAUUCAUUGUUUGUUUCACUUUUAAAGAGAGAAGAAUUGAGCAAUUUGAAAACACUAUAGUACUAGAGCGAUACAACAAUCUAAGUUAGAUUGAUUCUCAAGAACCAAACUUGAUCGUGUACAUUUGUUCUUAAUGUAUGGGGUGGUUUUUGAUUCUCUGCUCUAUGUAAUAACCUUUGUUUUUGAGACCUCAAAUUCAUUAUUCUUUGGGUAGUAAGUAAGGGUGACAAACCCCAUGAAAAAGAGCGAGAAAGCUCGAUGCUUACUAGCUUCAAGGAAAAAAUGUUGACAAACACCAAAGGUUUCUUAGUUAGAGGAUAGGUGCCGCAACUGAAGAUUUUGGAAAAUCCAGCAAUUGUGGUUAGAACUCUAGCUUGGAAUCUCUUACGGCUCGAAUGCCAAUGCUAACAUAACCCUUGUUUGUGGAAAAGUCCUACCAUGAAAAGAUGGGGUAGGUUAUUUGAUGUGGGGUUAGGGAAGAGGUAUAUCACAGUACUUUGACAUCACAAAUACAAUUAUCAAGAAGGAGGAAGAUGGAGGAGAGUGUGAAAAUAUUGAUGAACACCUCAACGGAAAGUGAAAUGAUCAAAAGCAGAGCAAAAGACGUCGAAGCAAUGAUUAUGAGGGAAGUGGAGAAAGAAAGAUUUUCUAAUAAUCAUCUGAUGACAUUAAUAGAGGAUCUCAACUACCAUGGUUUUCGUACCUUAGAAGAGUAAGCUCUCCUAAUAUUUCCUACAAUAAGCAUCAAGGAUGUUGACCUUGCUUGUAUGAUUAACCACAAGACAAAAUAAAAGAGAGAACAAAAUAACAUGUUAUGUUUCAAGCAAAAUACUAUAGAUAACAAAUCUAGAGUGUUAAGCAAUACUUCCCAAUGUCUCGAAUAUAGAUAUUGACAAAAGUGAGUUUCUUUUGAGUAGGGUAUAUAUAGUUGUUGUUCAUUCCAACCUUUGAAGAUCGCUAUUUGUUGCAUAUUUGAAAGGCGAAGUAUGUGAUAAGCCAUGAAGAAAACUUAGUUACCCAAGAAACAAGUUUAUCAGCUUUUGCCCAUUGGACCUAUAAACCAAUAGUGACUAGAAGAUUGCUUCUUUGGUUUGACACAGUUAGCAACUACCGGAUUGUUAGCAUAGAAAAACAAAGACUUUGAUGAAGUAGAAAGAGAAACAACAAACCAACCACAUUGUCAAAAUAACAUAUAUGAAUAGCAGGCAUGUUGCACACAUACUAUAUUAUUUGUUCAAUUAUAAAGAAGAUUAGAACCAAAUUAGACACACGACCACCAUGUCAAUGAGGACUAAAAAUGUCACAUGAUUAUUCUUAAUUUAUAACAAAGUAAUGUCAGAAAAGAGUUGGAUACUGCUCAGCCUGCUGUCUCACUCGUCUCUUAUACUCAACAUUAUCCUGCAAAAUCAAGGUCACAUAUUGUAAUGAAAAGCCAAAAAAUAGGAAAUAAUAUGAUUUACUCAAUUAUCACAUUUCAAAUGCACCAUAUUCUAUGAAUGGAAACUAAAAUUUAAUUUUCUCAUUACCAAUUUAACCAAAAUUUGUAAGUAAUCUAUUGACAUUUGGAAUCCCUCCUACAAUCCAAUAGUAUCUCUAAAACAGAUUUAAUGUAUUUAAUAUAUAGUAAAUUUUAUUUUUUUAUCUAAGCAUCCAAGUAAACGACUUCUCAACAGGAAUCAUCAUAGAAUUUCAGAUAUACAAGCUAUUAUUAUGAGUAGUUCCAAUAGACAAAAUCAAAAUGGCAACUUAAAGAUUUUUUUUUAAAAAAUCUCAAUGAAGUACACAUCAAGCUUGAGUAGUUACCUGUAUGUAUAUAUUAUAACCUUCUAUUUGUGCUAGAUAAUUAGGGCUCGGCCAAUCAAGCAAAUAAUGAAUACCCAUUAGAAUUUGUUUCACUGUAAUGACAGGACUCCACCCCUAAACAAGGUUAUAAAAACACAAUAACCAUAAGAGUAAUCUUGAAGCCGAUAUACAAAUUUACAAAACUAACAAAGUAACAAAACAACAAUGACAAGAACUUACAUGGUCCUGAUUAAGGAUAGACUGCAGACGUACUUUUCCUGAUGGAUAGACAUUAGGAUGAAAGAAACCUUGAGGAAACUUGCACUUGGGUGGCUUAGUUUUCACUAAAGUGCAUUGUCAUUGGAUAAAAGCCUUGCCCAGUCAGUCUGUACCAUAUCAGUUAAAUAUAGAGUUCAGAACCUAAAUAAGCCACAAAAACAUGAAAGUGACCAAAAUAAGCCACUACUUUAGUAAGUAACUAAAAUAGGCUUAGUGGAAGAAAAAAUUCCACUUUAUUUGAUAUUCUAAACGUUUUUCGUUAGUCUCAUAACGUGUAUAUUUUAAUAUAUAACGGAACUAUUUCCUACACUUUAUAAAAUGAAACUAUUUCUUACACUUUAUAAAGUGUAAGUUUUUCUUACACUUUGUAAAGUGGAACUUUUUCUUCCACUUUAUAAAGUGGAAGAAAAUCUUACACUUUAUAAAAGUUACUUUACCUUUUCACUUUCAUGGCUUCCAAACUUCACUUUGAAGUUAAUAGUUGAUGGUCCCAAUCCGACAAUUGAAGCAACCCUACACUAAAAAAUCAAAAUCUUGAAAGAUUGGAGUAGCACAACCCGACAACAUAACAAUCCGACCCUACAAAUUAUAAAAAUUAGGUACUUUUUUUCAUCUCAUAUUUUCAUUACUUUAAAAUGAUUUUGUAAUUUGUUCAAAAUUUCAGCAAGUCUUAUACAAUGUGCAUGCAAUUACUAAAUAUUAAGUUAGAAAAAAAAGUCAUUAAUUUGAAAUAAACAAAAUGAAUUACACUGUUGGAUUGGUAUUGCAAAAUUGUAUUUCACUACAAGAGAACAGGUCAUUAGCGAGAGACUAAAUCCCUAGCUAACUUACAAAAUUCCUAGCUAACAUCGUUUUUGCUAGGAAAAUGACCGUAGCAACCUUUUGUAGCUAAUACGCUCUUAGCUAAAAUUUUGUUAGGAAAACGUUGUUAGCCUAGCUAAUUUAGCUAGAAUAUUUUUCUAGGAAACAUAUCCAAGCAAAUAAUAGCUAGGAUUAUUCCUAGGUAACUUCAUAGCAAACAACUCUCUUUUGCUUGGACAUUUUUUAAGCUAAUAUGUAAACAUCCUAGCUUUUUCUUGGCUUGAUUUGUUAUGUUUUCAUGACCCCUAGCUUACUUUUAGAAGCAACCAAAAUUACUUAAAUUUCACAUAUCAUGAAAUAAAAAUUGAAUCCAUUCAAAUUACACUAAUUCAUUAACUAUACUAUGCAUUAUUUGCACAACCAUUUCAAAAUGGUAUGUCCUUCAGAAAUGAAUAACAUGUAUACAAAUAAAAUUGAACAUAUCUGAAGUUUUAAAAACAUAAAAAUUAGCUCCAUGUCAACUUAAGCUCAAAAACAUCAACAUAAGCUUCUUGUUGGCAUUGUCCUCCAACUUAGCGUCUCCAGCUCCAUUUGUUGGCAUGUUUCUUCAAAUUUAAUGUCUCCUUAUAGUACUUCAAUACCAAUUCAUCCCUUGGUGUAGAAAUCCCAUCAACCUUCUCCUUAAUAAGUUUUUUAUAAAUGUGUUACUAAAAAAAAGAAGAUAAUUAGUCAUUUUGAAUAAUAAAAUAAAUCAAAUAACAAGUAAAGAGACAUAAAUAAUUUGAACUAAGCAAAUUGGUCUAAUGAAGUAUACAUUAGAUUAUUUUACAGGUUUUAACAGAAGAAGAAUGACACAUUAUUAGUAAAAGGAAUCAAACACCAAAAGAUUAAAGACAUCAACGAGUAUACUACUAAAUUUUUAUUGAACAUUUAGGCUAUAAUGUAUGAACAAAGAAGAUAUUUUGGGAGGCUUUCAUACCAUGUAAACUCACACGAGUUCUAUGUUUUUGUAAAACUUUUUUGACUUUGGAUUAAUGAAAGGAUGAAAAUUGUUUAUUUAGAAAAACAAUAACCAUGUUUUUGGUUCACAUGGAUAUCUUAAGAAUGUACUUCAAUUCGUGGGUAUACCUUGGGAAUGUUAUUGGCCAAUCAUUCCAUUUUAAACAACUUUCCAGAAUAAAAAGUCAGCACCAUUCCAUACCCCAUCAUAUAGAGAAACUUCUUUUAAUUUUGGACAGAAGUAUACAAUUAAUCAGAUAGCAUAUUCUCAAACAUAUUAAAGAAAGACACAAUAUAUAAUAUGCCCUUUAACUUAGCUUGAGGUGGCAUCUACACCCUUUAAUUUUUUAUCUGCACAAGUAAACACUUAAACUUGUAUAAAGUUGAAUAAACUUGUAAACGCGUCUUGCGUGAUAUAAUACACAUAUGACACCAUUUAUGAUGAUGUGUAGGAUGCAAAUUGCUAUGUAGGACGCCAAGUAAGACGCAUGUGUUUACUUGUUCAGCUCUAUAUAAGUUGAAGUGUCUGCUUGUGCAUAACCAAAGUUAGAGGGUGUAGACGCAAAAUGAAGCCAAGUUAAAGGCAUGUUUAUGUAUUAUUCCAUAAAGAAAAUAACUACUAUCACUUCUAGUUCCUACUAAUUACCGAAUAAGGACUAGAAUAACAAGUACUCCUUCCAUUAAGCAAAAACAUAGUAUUAUCAGUAUAUCACCAAAACCAAAGCACAUCAAAAUAAAGCUUAGCAGAAAUGCAAAUCAAAAAUUUUAUGUAGUGGCAAUAAAUAUUAACUCCUAAAUAAAUUGAACCAUAACCUAAGUCCUUGAAAUGAGAAACACAAGUGAAAGUCAAUCCAAAUCUAAAAACAAAAGUCAACACCAUUCAUUCUGCAACUCAUAUUAAUUUUAAUUUAGUUAACUUUUCUGCAUCCUUAUUAGGAACACUAAAUGCUUACCAAGCCCUACAUUAACUAACAUAAUUACUACAUAAAAUCUAUACAACAAAGAAACAAGUUAAANNNNNNNNNNNNNNNNNNNNNNNNNNNNNNNNNNNNNNNNNNNNNNNNNNNNNNNNNNNNNNNNNNNNNNNNNNNNNNNNNNNNNNNNNNNNNNNNNNNNNNNNNNNNNNNNNNNNNNNNNNNNNNNNNNNNNNNNNNNNNNNNNNNNNNNNNNNNNNNNNNNNNNNNNNNNNNNNNNNNNNNNNNNNNNNNNNNNNNNNNNNNNNNNNNNNNNNNNNNNNNNNNNNNNNNNNNNNNNNNNNNNNNNNNNNNNNNNNNNNNNNNNNNNNNNNNNNNNNNNNNNNNNNNNNNNNNNNNNNNNNNNNNNNNNNNNNNNNNNNNNNNNNNNNNNNNNNNNNNNNNNNNNNNNNNNNNNNNNNNNNNNNNNNNNNNNNNNNNNNNNNNNNNNNNNNNNNNNNNNNNNNNNNNNNNNNNNNNNNNNNNNNNNNNNNNNNNNNNNNNNNNNNNNNNNNNNNNNNNNNNNNNNNNNNNNNNNNNNNNNNNNNNNNNNNNNNNNNNNNNNNNNNNNNNNNNNNNNNNNNNNNNNNNNNNNNNNNNNNNNNNNNNNNNNNNNNNNNNNNNNNNNNNNNNNNNNNNNNNNNNNNNNNNNNNNNNNNNNNNNNNNNNNNNNNNNNNNNNNNNNNNNNNNNNNNNNNNAAUAAUAAAUCAUAUAAAUUAAUAAAUAAUUGACAAAAUCAAUAAAUAAUAAUCGAAAUAUAAUUAUUGAGCAUUACCAGUCACUUUCAUUGAUAGUUUCGUUCAAAUCAACAUCAUAUCGACCGGUAAGAAUAUUUUGAUAAUGAGUCAUGUUAGAAAAAUCAGUAGAUUGAGUUAUCGGAAAUCCAUCAACACUAUUACGAUUUUCUAAUCAGGGAUGGACGUCGACCGAUAAAGGAGAACGUUGUUGACUAGUCUUAGGCUCCUUCCUAACAUAGAUUUCAAGUAUUGUUAACUUGAUUUGAUCUAUGUAGUCAUUUGGAACCCUCAAAAAGUCGGUCAACGAUUCGUCAUUAUAGAUAAUCCACUCUCCAAAAUUUACUUGUCCUUGUGAUAAAAAUGAAGUAGGGUAUUUUCCGACUAUAAUCAAAUUAUAAUCAGUAUUGUUUAUACUCAUUCUUUUAUAAAUUGAUGAAAGAAAUUUAUAAUAUCGGACAUUAAUUGAAUAUUUCGCAUUGUGUUUGGGAGGACAAUUAUAAUAAGCGGUAUUUCCGUCAUGUAUAAUUUUGCCAUCCCAAUAAAUCGAAACUCUAACUUUUGGUUUAGAAGACAUUUUUUUUUUGAGAUUGAAAUAAAGAAAUAUAGUAGACUUUAUGUUGUAGGUGCUAUCAACUAUGUUUGAACGUCCUUAAAUAGAGAUUGGAGGAUUUUUAGAAUAAAAAAUAAAAUACAGUGUAAUAAUUUUUCCGUUUUUAUGAUAUGUCAAAUCAAUAUAAUUGUACUGCAAAAGCUUAAAUAAAGAGAUAAAAACGUGAAAAAUAUUCCUCUUGAAAACAAAAAAUUUUCUUCCACUUUAUAAAGUGUAAGAAAAACUUACACUUUAUAAAGUGUAAGAAAUAGUUCCAUUUUAUAAAGUGUAGGAAAUAGUUCCGUUAUAUAUUAAAAUAUACACGUUCAUGACUAACAGAAAACGUUUAAAAUAUCAGAUAAAGUGGAAUUUUUUCUUCCACUAAGCCUAUUUUAGUUACUUACUAAAGUAAUGGCUUAUUUUGGUCACUUUUAUGUUUUUGUGGCUUAUUUAGGUUCCGAGCAUCGGGAAGCCUACUCCUCGGGCUGUUCGGUACUUGAAUAUGCUUGCCGCGGAGAAAGACUACUUUUCUAUUCGCUUGCCUGCGCGCCUCUACUCAUGCGGGACUGACUGUGCAAUAUCACUAUUACUGACAAAUAUUAAAAGAAAGAACUAGGAGAAGCAGAGAGUAGAGUAUCAACACUAUAAAAUCUUGCAAAAUCCAUAAUGAGUUUCACAUUAAACCCUAAUGGACUACAAAUAAUAAAAUUCAUAAGCUUACCAAAAGCUUACAACAUUUAUUAGAGCAUUAUUCAGAAACUCAAAAAUAGUCAGAGAAAAGGAAUUUUUCGCACAUGAAAUGUGAAAGGAAUGUCCCGUGAUCAUUUACACAAUUGACUUAUGAUACUAAAACCACUUCAACAAGACAUCCUUUCAUUUAUAUGCAAUUAAUACAUAACAAAAUAUUAAAGUUCAAACCUUAUGGUACUUUUACAAAAGGGAGGUUUGCAUCAUCACAAAGAUCAUAUUUUUCCUAAUCUACAUAUUAAAUCCAGGGAAUCACUCACACAUACAUACCUUACAAGGCUAUAAGGUUAUAACUUUCUUUUGUUUAGAAAAUUCUGAAAGAACUCGAAGGACUGAGUGACUCUCAUAAUAUAAAAAAAUUGAUUUUAGGUUCAUAGGUGAUAAUAUUUUUCAUAAAAUCACUAACUAUAACUGUUGAAGAUAAGGAUCAAGCUGAAGAUAAGGAUUGAGUUGAUCAACAUGGUUCAACUGUUAGAAGUCUUGUUAGUUGUUCAAGAAUUAAAAUCGAACUUUGACUAGGCUAUGUAGGUGUAGUAGUAGUUAACCUCUACUAUUGUAUUUGUAUUUUUAAUAUAUUAUAACUGUAAUACUAGUCUACUACUGUACAAAUUUACAACUCUAUAUCAACCUCUACUCAAAUGUUUAACCAUCAAUACAGAUUUUGAUUUAUCUCAGUUAUUGUUGAGAAUUCUACAUGGUAUAAGAGAAUUAAAAUCUUCCGCUGCCUAAGUAUUGAAUUCAAAAUGAUCACAAGUUUAACUGAAAUGGAUCCCUCUAUCAAUACUUUGUCCACUUAUUCCCUUCACCACCUAAUUGCCUCUUGUUCCAUUAAACUUAAGCUAACAAACUAUCUCAUAUGAAGGACACAAAUGAUGCAGUUGAUUCAUGUGAUGUGACUAACCUAUAUCAUCAAGGAGAAUGAACCAAUUGCGAGUGGUCAUUCUACUGGAAAGUCUGUUGAGAAAGUCGUGGUUAUAAGUGUUGAGGAUAAUGUAGAAUAUAGUGGUAGUGUUGAUGAUUGUAGGAGAAAUAUGUACUGCUAAGGAACUGGAUCUUAGGCACCUUGAUAGAAGAUGACAUGUACUUUAUUGUGGGUUUCUCAACUACCAAGGAGAUGUGAGAAUGCUUAAAUAAGGCCUAUCUACAAGCAGCAAAGAUAAGGUGUUUUAGCUUAAACAAUAACUGCAAAGUAUAGGCUAGGAACCACGAAAAUUGAUGAUUACAUAAAGAAAUUCAAAGGAAUAUGUGAUGGUCUUGAAGCCAUUCACAAUCCUGAGGAUGAAGAUAGAAAAGUAAUGAACUUUAGGUUUAGGUCUCAAGUACAAUUCCUUCAAGAUUUUCAUGCUAGGUAAUGCACCAUAUUCCACUCUUAAUCAAUUUGUUAAUUCUCUCAAGGUUUUUGAUAUGAAAGAGGAUGAAGAAGAAUUGCAACUACAUAACCUUAACAUGGCAUUCUUUGCCCAAAGGAUAAGGGGAAGAGGAAACUACUCUUAGAAAAGUGGAAACAACAACUUCAACUCCAAAGGAAGGGGUCUCAAACCUGUUGGACAAGGAUCAAAUUAAAUACUUAGAAUAAUCAAAGCUUCUAAAGUAUAAAUAAGGAUAGGAAUACUACCGAGUCGUUUAAAAUUUUUGGUAGAAAUAAUGAUUCUACUCUUAAGUGCUUUUACAGGUGGGACUACUCUUGUCAAUAUGUAGAUGAACUACCACAUGCAUUGGCUGCUAUCAAUCUGCAAAAUACAUCAUCUACAUAUGACACUUUGUAUAUGGACUCAAAAGCCAGUAUUCUAUCUAAUUUAAACACUACAGUGGAUUUUAUAAAAUUGUUGUUGGGAAUGGAUCACAAUUAGACAUAACACAUGUUAGGAAUACAACUAGAUCAUGUUUGAAAUAAGAAAAUGUCCUUGUAGUUUCUAAGAUUGCUGUGAAUCCACUCUCAGUUUGUAAAAUUGCUAAGGAUAAUUGUUGCACUCUUGAAUUUGAUGAAACUAACGUCGUUGUAAAGGACAAGAACACAAGGACAAUACUAACCUAGGGAUCUAAGAGAACUGGACUCUAUGCUUUGACUCCUACACAAGAUUAGAACACAUCAGACAUCAUAGAGCAUACUAUAUUAGGACAUCCUAGUUUAAAGUUGUUAAAAGUUUUAAGUAACAGUAGUUGCAUUAAUGUUAAUAGUUGGAAUAAAAUGCAUAUUGUCUGCAGUUGGACAAAAUUUGUAAACUUCCACUUGACUUGAAGAAUAGAAUUGACAACUAACCUUUAUUGAAAACACAUUUUGAUUUGUGGGUUCCUUCUCCUGUUGAAUUUUUUCAGCAUAUGAAAUAUCAUGUAGUGUUUGUAGAUGAUUACACAAGGUAUACAUAGCUUUAUCCAAUGAAAAAGAUGGUUGAAAUUUUUGAAGUAUUUGUUACAUUUCAGAAAAUUGUGUAAAACAAUUCUCUAAAGACAUUAAGAUGUUCCAGUGUGAUAGAGGUGGUGAAUUAAUCAAAACAUACUUCAUUAAAAUUCUAGAAGAUUGUAGUAUUGUUAGGCACAUUUCAUGUCCUAACACACCUGAAAAAAGGAGUCUCAGAAAGAAAACAUAUGCAUAUUGAUGAGAUUGGAUUAACUAUUCUAAUACGUGCUAAUCUUCCUUUGUUUCUAUGAGUUGAGGCCAUGCACUAUUUUUCAUUAAUAGACUGUCGUACUCAGUUUUAAAGAUGGUUACUCCAUUUGUUAGGCUAUAUGGUGAGAAACCUGAUUAAAACAUCUUAAAGGUGUUUAGGUUUAGGUGUUUCACAUAUAUAAAGGGUAGUACCAAGUUUAGCUUGAAGACCUGCUCUUGUGUGUUCAUAGGAUACAAUAGAUUGCACAGGGGAUACAGAUGUUAUCUUCCCUCAACAAGGGAAGUGUAUGUGUCCAAACAUGUUGAUUUUAUGAAAGAACAUUACCUUUUAUCCUCCAAAUCAAACUUAUACUAAUAUUUAUGUCUCACCUGAUCUAGAUACUUUUGUUGAGUUUUUCUCUUAAUUUCCGGCAUAUGAGGAUACUUAUUCAGGGGAAAUGCUUAUACUGUGUCAACAACUAGUGAGAAUCUUGCAUAUAUUAAAACACAGGUUGUUGAUAAUACACAAGCUACUGGUGAUAAUGUUAUUGAACAUAUAACAACACUCAUGCCUAUUGAUGAUGAUAUUGAUGUUGAACAAUCAGAUGCAGUUUCAGAUAAUGGUGGUAAGGAUCAAGUUAAUCAUGCAGGUUUAGAUAGUGGUGGUCCAUCGAAUCAUACUUCUUUUGUGUCUAGUCCACAAGAGAUACACUAAAAGGUUGAUAUAUUAGUAUGAUAUAUGACUGAGAACCAACAAUCUAGAGAAACUACACUAUAACUAGCUGCCUCACUUGAUACAUCUCAUAUACCACAAGGCAUCACAUGACUACUAAACACAAGGAAAAGGUUCAUCACUUAUCUCUAGUUCCUAAAAACAAAGAAGAGAUUGUGAGAGAACCAAAAACUACUAAUGAGGCACUAGAGUCACCACAUUGGCUUGCAGUUGUGCAGAAGAAAAUCAAUGUUUUACAUAACAACAAGACAUGGACAUUAGUGCCUAAAUCGGCUGGUAUGAACCCAGUUAGUUCAAAAUGGGUGUCCAAGACCAAGUUGAAGAAAAAUGGAAUAGUAGAUAGAUACAAAGAAAGACUUGUUGCUAGGGGUAUUUCACAGCUUGAAGGGAUAGAGUUUGAAGAAACAUUUGGCCAUAUAGUCAAGGCCACAACUAUUAGGGUGGUUUUAUCAGUUGCUAUUAGCUCUAAGUUGGAAAUAAGGCAACUUGAUGUCAAAAAUUAAUUCCUACAUGGUCUUUUGGAAUAAGAGGUAUACAUGAGUUAACCUCUUGGAUUUAUUGACUCUAAAUAUCCUCACCAUGUUUUUCUGUUAAAGAUGGCAUUGUAUGGCCUUAAACAUGCAUCAAGAUUUUGAUAUGAUAGAUUUAGCAUGCAUCUCCUACACCUUGGCUUUACUUAUAGUAAGGCAGACCCCUCAUUGUUCACAUUGCAAACUCAUAAAGGUUCAAUAUUCCUCUUGUUGUAUGUAGAUGACAUUAUUGAAAUAAGAAGUAACCAAUUACAUGUCUUUGAGUUGGUUUUACAACUUGGAAGAGAGUUUGUUAUGAAGGAUCUCUGUCCUAUACAAUUCUUUCUUGGAGUGGAGGUCAAAUAUUUUAUGGGAGGAGUUUACUUGAGUCAGAGUAAGUAUGCCGCUGCCCUACUUAACAAGACUGAUAUGAAAUUGUAAAAAGUUAUAGCUACUCCUUAGGAAAAAUUGCUUGGUCAAAAUAAAGGGGUUGGAAGUCUGUAGAUGCCUCUUUGUACAUAAGGAUAGUAGGUAGCCUCUAGUAUUUGACACUCCCAAGGCCUGAUAUCACUCAUGUAGGCAAUCUAGCCAGUCAGUUUAUGCAAUGUCUUAAUAAUGAACACAUUCAAGGAGGUAGAAUGAUUCUCAGGUACAUCAAAUGUACUCUACAAUUUGAACUCAAACAGUCAAACUUAUCUCAUAAUCACCUUGUAUGUUGUAUGGAUAUUCAGAUACUCAUUUGGUUGUGAGGAUGCAUUACCACUCCGAGAUCCACUACAGGCUAUAGCAUCUUCCUAGGUGCAAAUCAUUUUUCUUGGAUUUCCUAGAAACAGCCAAUAGUAGCAAGAUCAAGUGUUGAAGUUGAGUAUAGAUCACUAACCUUUACUGCAACAGAGAUGACAUGGAUCAUCUACCUACUUCAUGAUGUUAGAGUGUACCUCAACACAAUGUCUACAUUGUAUUGUUAUAAUUUGAGUGCUUUGUACAUGAAAGUUGAUGUGAGGCCAAAUAUAUAUAUUUUUAAUCAUUAUUUGUCUCACAUUUAUUAUUUGUAUUUAUCCUUUUUAAGUAUGAAUUUUAUGGAUUGUGCUAAAUAAUGUAUUUUAUUUGUAGGAGUAAAUUGGUGUAAUGCUGAAGAAGUUUGGAGCUAAAACAAAUUAAAGAUGGAAGGUUAAAGAAGGAAAUCAAGCAAGCAGCGUAAUGGAUUAAAAGUUAUAAAAUAAUACAUAAGUUAAAUUGCAAUUCUGCUGCCAUGUGUAAGAAUCUGCAGAUAGGCACAAAAUUUUGAACGCAUAGCUUCACGCGGAAAAUAAAAAGGAAUUCAACUCUGUUUUGGCUUUAGGUUCCUAAUUUGAUUUGGACUUAGUUAUUUUAUUUAGGAUUUUCUAGAUCUAUAAAUAGUUCAAAAAAAUAAUUAUAGAAGAAAAAAAAAAUAUAUAGGGCAUCAAGUAUAAAGUUGUCAAUACUUUUUAGGGUUCUUUACUUCUUCUUUUCUUAGACAUUAGUAGCUAAAGACCCUUGUUAUGGGGCUGCAACUAUGGUUAAUUGUUGAACAUAGAUUUUUUUGAAUUAAUAUUGGUUAUCACUUAAAUCACUUUUGUAUUCUUAUUUUAGUAUUUCAUGCUUGAUCACCAUAGAGAUAAAUAUAUUGCCUAUUCUUGGACUCGGGAGAUGAUAUGGUAGAUAGACCAAAGAAUACAAAAGGCUUGAUCUUCCAUUAAAUUGAGUUGAUUUGUGUUAGUAGUGACGCACGGACGAACACCUAUCUUGGUUAAAAAACAGGAUGAAAUAUAAAUGCUGGCCAAUUAGGACUGCUUAUCCCCACUCAACGAUGUAGUUAUACAACUAAUUGGGGUAGGCGAUUAGAGGUCGGGAGACCAUGAUCAUAAAGUAAACCUUGUAAAUCAGUAAUUUGAUAACCAUAAUUACUUCAUGUAUGAGGUGUGAUAAAUGAAACCCUAUACAUGUUGCAACCCUGGGAUUUUCCAAUCACUGUAAGUAAUUUUAUUUUUAAUUCCUACAUUCUUUUCUUUACAAAUAAAAAUCAAACAGUUUUGGCACUCUUAAAUAAAUAAUUAGACUAGUAUAAUUUAGUAAAAAUUGUUAAUCGACAAGUCAUUUGGGUUCGAUAAUCUGAUUCUUUUAAGAGCCACUAUUACUUGCGCGACCACGUACACAUGCGUGGGCAAUUGGGAGCAACAAAUUUUUGGAGCCGCUGCUGGGGACUUAUAAAUUAACUAUUCUUCUAGUUUAUAUUUUUUCUUUUUAUUUAUUUAUUUAUUUAUUUAUUUAUAUUGAUACAUAGUUUUUUAUAUUAAUUAAUACUCUUCGUGGGAUGAACGGGAAUGAUGAUUAUUCAUGUGUGGUAAGACCUUGUCCUUAUUGCAAAGGAGCCCAAUUUUGGCAACAAUGUCAAUAUAUUUCUGAGGCAGAAUUGUGUGUACCAUCUUUAUCCUAUAGCUUUGUAGUGAUUUUUGGGUCGGUUGUACCGUGUUUUGCUACCCUACUCCAAAACCCUACCAUGAUGAUUCUAAUAAUCUUUGUUCCUUUGAUAGUAUGGAAUCUUGCAGGAAAUUAAUAGAGGAAUAUGAAGAGCGUCGUAGGAGAAUCAUAUAUGUAAUGUCAUACCUUAUAGAUAGAAAAAUGAAGCAUUUUCAAGAUGUUUAAUUUUUUUUUUGCAUACUCAAAAUUUAAGCAAUGAAUUGAAUGCAAAGGUUGCUGCGUUAGACGUUCAACAAUCCAAUUAUGAGUUUUGUGAUACUGAAAAGGCACUCAGAAGUCAAAUAGAGGUUCUAAAAUGGGAGGAGAUACAAUGCAAUCAGACUUUUCUUGAAGGUUACACGUUUGAGAAAGAGUACAAAAAUGAGAAUGUUGUAAAUAAUGUUGCUUUGGAGUCGAGGCAACUUGAAUCUCAUUCAAAACACUUUUCUAUAUUAUGCUUAGAUGGCGACAUGAAAAUCGAGUCAUCUGAACUAAUGAAUGAGUGUAUAGAUGAGGAACAAAGCCCCUACAUUAUAAUGUUUUUUAGUCCACGUAGACAACGACAUUCCUCACAUAAGGGUCAACAAAUGCAAGAUGCAACAUAUAUUACUUAGUUCCUUUAUCUUUAUACCACUGCCCCUACAGAGGAGCAGAAAAAUUGAUGCAAAGUUAGGGGUAAAAUUCAUAAGUUCAAAGUGGAAAGAAAAGUGGUGAAUUUAUUUGUGUCGUGCCGCGACAUUAAAUUAGGCGCUUAUUGGGCGGCAACCCAAUUACUAGUGUCACUUUUUUUGUUUUUUUGUCUUGUUUUUGUAGAUUAGGGGAAGUCUGAGUACCCAAAAAUUUGAAGCGAAGGAACACGUUUGAGUUUAAGUGUGGGGUGCGUACGACCUUUCAUGAAAAUUAAGAGAACAUGCUACUAGCUAGGCCUUAAGGCCUCAUGGAGUUUUCCUAACCCUUGUUUUAAAUUUUAUUUGACUUUUGGGGGGCAUAUCACCUUUUUUAAGUGUGGGGGUGGAGGAAUGAAUUCCUAGUUUGUACUGUUUUAUUGUGUCUUUUCUAUAUUUAGGAUGGGUUCCUUGACUUUUGCUUUCGAUUCUUAUCCCGAUGAUAGUCCCUCUGAACCAAGUGUCUUUAAUUUUUUUAGGAAUAAUUUUUUUUGAGAGAAAAGAAAAGAUCAUUUUGAGUGGUGUGAUACUUGCUAUUUAGGCCUGAUUUUUGAGUAGUGAUUUCUUGUGAAUGCUUGAUUGAUAAGGAAAUUGCAGACUCCGUUAUACCGAGGCUCAUGGUUGUGACUUUGUAUAUAGCUUAUUUUAUUUUGUAGUUUGUUAUGAUUCUAUCUCUCUUAAAAGUGAAAUUGAUCCAUCUUGAUUGAUACUUGUUCUAUGUGUGGUGAGAAUUUGCUUAUUCCAUGUUUCGCAUCUUAGUCUAAAACAUGCACUGCAUGUUAUUGAAGCGAAAUAAAAAGUGUUGCUUUGUUUAGGAGAUGAUAAUAGGCUUUCUUUGAUUUGUCUUGUAAAUUUUAGCCUUUUCAGAUAUUAUAUCACUAGUUAGCCCUUUUGAGCCUGUAACCUUUUGUUGGUAGCCAUAUUUUGCCCUUUACUAUUUUUGAAUCCCUAAGUUGAAUCCCUAGUUUUUGCACCUUGCUUCCUUGAGGAUUGUAGCAUAGACUUAUUCUAAUUAUCAAUUUUGAGAAAAAGGGAUGGUUGAGUGAAAAGGUAAUCAAUGAUAGCUACAAAGUGCUUAAAAAUCUCUCUUUGAAAGAAUGUGAUACGAAAAAAAAAGAAAGAGAACAAAAGAAUGUGACAUAAAAAAAUCCUUUGAAAAAAUAAGAGAAAAAAUGAUUGAAGCAUUCUUGAGAUGAUGAGAAUUACUUGUGAAAUAAUUGUUGAAGAGAGGGCUAAAAAGAAAGAGAAGAAAAUAAUGGGUGAUGCAGUCUAACUUAAGGAAGUGUAAGUCACUAUUAUAUAGUUUUUCUACCCGUUAAAGUUUUGAUUCUAUUCAAGCAUCCUUAAUUAGUUACAUAAUGGCCAAGCCUAUGGUUCUUUGUCCAUAUAUGUGAAUUGUAUUUCUGAGUGUGAGUUGUUCUUUGAUGCUAAGUCCUUAAUUUAUAUUCGAUCUUUUGAAUUGAGUGUGUGGACUAUUUUUUCUUGUGAGGGCACUUGUUUCAUGAUGGAUAUGUGAUUCUAUUAACUUUCUUUGAUGAGAGUAGGUGAGCAAGCUUAAAUUUUAUGAGUUCAAAGUCCUUCCUUGAGGUUAGGAGGUUAGAGGCUUGUUGUUUAUUUGGAUGUGUUGCAUAAUGAGCAGGAAUUGAACUUGAUGUUUUGAAAUUCGUAUAUGGUCUAAUUGUUUGUAUCUACUAAAGUGAUGACAUUCCUAGUAUGAUUUUUUGAGAUGAGCUUUAAUGUUUGAUCGAAGACGAGCAAAAGUUUAAGUGUGGAGUGUUGAUGUGAGGCCAAAAAUAUAUAUUUUUAAUCAUUAUUUGUCUCACAGUUGUAUUUGUAUUUAUCCUUUUUGAGUAUGAAUUUUAUGGAUUGUGCUAAAUAAUGUAAUUUAUACAUAGGAGUAAAUUGGUGUAAAGUUGAAGAAACUUGGAGCUAAGCCGAAUUAAAGAGAGAAGGUUGAAGAAGGAAAUCAAGCAAGCAACUUAAUGGAUUAAAAGUUAUAAAAUAAUACAUAAGUUAAAUUGGAAUUACAAUUGCAAUUCUGCUGCCACGUGUAUGAAUUCGAAGAUAGGCACAAAAUUUGGUAUGCACAGCUUCACGCGGAAAAUAAAAAGAAAUUCAACUCUGUUUUGGUUUUAGGUUCCUAAUUUGAUUUGAAAUCAGUUAUUUUAUUUAGGGUUUUCUACAUCUAUAAAUAGUUCAGAGAAAUAAUAAUGGGAGAGAAAAAAAUAUAAGGGAUCAGGUAUAAAGUUGUCCAUACUUUUUUGAGAAAGAAGUUGUCCAUACUUUUUAGGGUUCUUUUCUUCUUCUUUUCUUAGAUAUUAGUAGCUAAAGAGCCCUGUUUUGGGGCUGCCACUAUGGGUAAUUGUUGAACACCUAUUGUUUUGAAUUAAUAUUGGCUAUCACUUAAAUUAUUUUUGUAUUCUUGUUUUAGUAUUUCAUGCUUGAUUACCAUAGAGAUAAAUAUAUUGUCUAUUCUUUGACUCGGGAGACAAUAAGGUCGAUAGACCAAAGAAUACAAAAAGCUUGAUCUUCCAUUAAAUUGAGUUGAUUUGUGUUUAGGAGUGACUUUCAGACGAACACCUGACUUGGCUACAAAACAUGAUUAAUUGAGUCUCAUCUAUCGAAAACAACAUUUCUACCUCACAUAAGGUAGAGAUAAAGUCUGCAUGCAUUCUACUCUACCAUAUCUAAACCCUAUUUAUGGGGUAACAUUGUGUAUAUUGUUAUUUGAAACGUGUAGUGUAAUUUCUCUUUCUUUCAUAAACUCUCAAAAGGUCCAUUAAGGUUCAUAUAUUAAAUAGGACACUUCAUAACUAAAGCCCCUCUUCCACAAGUAUCCUUCCUUUGCAAUACAAUAUCUACUCCCAUUUUUCUCCAUGGAAAAUCUUUAACCAUAGAAAUAGAAAAAAGGAUUUUCCUGAAUUGUGGAUUAGGAACUAAGAAGGCGAUUGGAAGUUUCUCUAAGCAGUUGCAAUGACCAAGUUGAAACCUUUGGUUUUUCUUUUAUCAAGAAAUUUGUAGAUGGAGAUAACAAAAUACAAGGUCAAUACAAGCCGAGCAUACAUGAGGAUACUCUAAGCUACAAAGCAGAGCCCUAUUAAUCAAUAUAUGCUUCUGACUCAGAUCCCUAUACAUUUACAUAUUAAGCUGAACACCUUUUCUUUUGAUAAGGAAGGUAAUGUGUGUUAUAUUGAUUGUCAAGCUAUAACUAUUUAAAAAAUAAAACGGAGUUCCAUAUUUUCCACAUUUAGACGAAUUAAACUUAACCCAAAAUCAUGAAAGGAAACAUGUAGGCUAAAACUAUUAUCAUCCAAUUAGACAUAACUUAGAUCUCGUUAAAUUUACUUCCUACUCCAAUUACCUAAUUCUAUUCACUUUAACUAAUUCUCUACUACAAUGAAAUAUUCGGCAAACUAAAUCAAAAGAUAAAACUAAAGGAGUAUAAAAAUCCUAGAAAUAAUAAGAAAACUAUGCAAGUCAUAACCAAUAUAGUAGAAUACUUUCUAUAACUGUUGCGAGAAUAUCAAAAUUGAUGUGUCUAACUAUUAAUUAGAUUGUACUAUCUUUUCUUCAUAGUUCCCAUAACAUAGAAUAGAUAAACUUCCUCAUAAAACUAUGAAGUAUGGGUAAUAAUAGCACAAAAUUACUGGUUUUCCACAACAAAGAAGGGAAAAAAUGAUAAACAAUAACCUGCUAAAAGAAGUAGACCAAUUCUAGCCCGAAAUUUUCAAUCACAGACAAGGAAUAUACACCAAACCACUGAAUAUAUACAUGUUUACACUCUUUUACAAUUAUGAGAAUCCAUCAAGAAUUGACACAUUUCACAAUGUCUACAAGUUUAAUUCAACCCUCAUCCUUUAUUUAGAUUUGAUACAGGAAAUGCGAGCGAGCUCACACAUGUGGACACUCUUUUAUUAUUUGUCAUGAUUAAUUUGUAUGUAUCUAAACCAUUUUUCAGAAAGAGUAUCAAAAGACUUCUAACUUUCUCAUUUUUCAUUUGUAAUAAACCAUCCAUACAAAAACUACAAAAGGAGAAAACUUGAAAUGGGCAGUGAAGAAAGGAAGAAAGUUUACUCACCGCAGGUUUUCCAGGGAUAGAACAAUGCCACACCAUCAAAUUAACAGACCCAUCUGGACCAGUUUCAGGCCUAGCCACAAAUCCCUAAGGGAAAAACAUAA